rnacentral:rRNA from 1 species
AUGACCCAGGAGGUUAUGAAAGAAGCUCAUGAUACGCCUCUAUGUAUCCAUCCUGGUAGUACGAAGAUGUAUCAAGACAUCCGCCAGAGAUUCUGGUGGUCUAACAUGAAGCAAGACAUUGCUCGUUAUGUUGCUGAAUGUGACGUUUGCCGUCGUAUCAAAGCAGAACAUCAAAGGCCUGCUGGAACUCUACAACCUAUAUCUAUUCCUGAAUGGAAAUGGGACCAUGUUGAAAUGGACUUCGUCACUGGAUUCCCCAAAUCGCAGAAAGGCAAUGAUGCUAUUCUUGUCGUCAUUGACCGACUUUCUAAGGUUGCACAUUUUCUGGCGGUCAAAGAAAUGAUCACUGCUAGUCAGCUUGCAACCCUCUACAUGACCAGAAUUGUUUCGCUUCACGGUAUUCCACUGGUUAUCAGUUCAGACCGUGGCAGUUUAUUCACUUCAAGAUUCUGGGCAAGUUUCCAAGAAGCUAUGGGCACUCAUCUGUCUUUCAGCACUGCUUUUCAUCCUCAGUCACAAGGGCAAGUUGAACGUGUCAACCAAGUUCUCGAAGACAUGCUUUGA